AUUGAACGCUGGCGGCAGGCCUAACACAUGCAAGUCGAACGAGUGGCGGACGGGUGAGUAAUGUCUGGGAAACUGCCCGAUGGAGGGGGAUAACUACUGGAAACGGUAGCUAAUACCGCAUACCAUCGGAUGUGCCCAGAUGGGAUUAGCUAGUAGGUGGGGUAACGGCUCACCUAGGCGCCGAUCCCUAGCUGGUCUGAGAGGAUGACCAGCCACCUUGGAACUCAUACACGGUCCAGACUCCUACGCGAGGCAGCAGUGGGGAAUAGUGCACAAUGGGCGCAAGCCUGAUGCAGCCACGCCGCGUGUAUGAAGAAGGCCUUCGGGUUGUAAAGUACUUGCAGCGAGGAGGCGUUACUCGCAGAAGAAGCACCGGCUAACUCCGUGCCAGCAGCCGCGGUAAUUC
rnacentral:rRNA from 1 species